rnacentral:rRNA from 1 species
GGGAUGGCGGGACCUCCAGUAUUCCAGUUGUUCUGCCAAGGGCAACGCUGGUUAGCUGUGUCCCGAAGGGAUAACCGCUGAAAGCAUCUAAGUGGGAAGCCCCUCCCAAGAUAAGAUCUCCCGGGCCGUAAGGCUCCUAAAGGUCACUUGGAGACUACAAGUUUGAUAGGCCGGGUGUGUAAGCGCCGCAAGGCGUUAAGCUAACCGGUACUAAUCGACCGUGAGGCUUGACCAAUUU